AUAGCGACUAUCGUGGCAUAUCAAUAAGCGGAGGAAAAGAAACUAACAAGGAUUCCCUUAGUAACGGCGAGUGAAGCGGGAAGAGCUCAAAUUUGAAAUCUUCAAGGUUCUACCUUGACGAAUUGUAGUUUAUAGAAGUGUUUUCUGUUAGUGGAGUGGCAAAAGUUCUUUGGAAUAGGACAUCAUAGAGGGUGAGAAUCCCGUAUUUGGUCAUUCCUCCUAGCGUUGUGAUACACUUUCAACGAGUCGGAUUGUUUGGGAAUGCAGUCCAAAAUGGGUGGUAAAUUUCAUCUAAAGCUAAAUAUUGGCGAGAGACCGAUAGCGAACAAGUACCGUGAGGGAAAGAUGAAAAGAACUUUGAAAAGAGAGUUAAACAGUACGUGAAAUUGUCAAAAGGGAAGCGUUUGACACCAGUGUUGUUUUUCCGAAAAUCAAUUACGAAUGUUUUGUUUUUAAGAAGUUAUGACUUCAUCGGCUUGCUUCUUUCUUUACGAAACUUUCUUAAUGCACUUUUCGGUUAACAAGUCAACAUCAAUUUCUUUUGUUGUAAAAGGGUACGAGGAAGGUGGCUUUCUUUUCGGAGAAAGUGUUUAUAGCCUUUGACCUCUGCAAUCGGAGAGAUUGAGGUCUGCAGCGUAGAUCCUUCGGGGUUAGAUACAUUUGUGCUAAGUUAUAGUUUUUCAUAGACAACUUGUUGACUAUGAUUUAAUCAUUGUAGCUUACUCGCUUAUGCUAUUUUACCUACGCUUAGGAUGUUGACGAGACUGUCGAUCUC
rnacentral:rRNA from 1 species